rnacentral:misc_RNA from 1 species
CAAAAACGGCUCUAAUAGUAAAACACAUGCCUUAGUGUUUACAAACUAGGGUAUGUCCCUUUAAGUUAAAAUUACUCUGGUAGAACCACUCCUGUAUCGCAUAGUGCUCAAUAAACAACUGUUAUAGUGACGAAGCAAUGUUGCGUAACUAAUCAAUCAAAACACGUGAUCGUACUGAUAAUAACAUACGACUCACGGGACUGUUAUUAUUAAGUUACCAGGGCCGUAGAUAGCAGGGUGGCAAGGAAAAAAAAAAUUCGGAAAGCAUUAUAGAAACUCAGUUGCGCCCCCCCCCCCCCCCCCAACAAAAAAUCCUAGCUAUGGCCCUAGUUACACACCUUUUUGAAAAACAUUCAGUAUAUUAAAAAUGUAAAUUUGUAAUUAUGUUAAUAAAAAAAAUAUUCUACAAAAAAAAAAUGUAAAAGAAAAAAAAAGAACAUAAUUAUGUAUAAAUGUACUGGUACAAUACAACACACUACACAUGCAACUGUUGUACUGCUCGUAUUUUUAACUCCACCCAUCUGCCAAUCAAACAACGAGAAAAUGCUUUCACUUUUAAUUUCUACGUCAAACGAUUAAAAUUAUAUUUAUAUUUUUUGUUAUUUAUCCGGGUUAUUAACAAGUAUACUAGUACACCAGAUUUGAUUGGCUGUAAGAAAGGGACGCAACUCUUUCACAUGUAAGAUACGAAUAAUUUGGUAAUUUUCAUUGGCUAAAAUUCCUCCAGUCAGGCUACUCCCUUCGCACGAGCUCUUGGCGUGUCACCCUCCAUCUUGAAAAGUUCGACAGACUAGAAGGCUAGAGUCGCCGACAUCGAACAAAACUAUUCAUACCAUUAGCGCUUUCGCACUGAUCUGACAAAAGAAUGGGAAGCUCCUGGAAUGAUUACGUUGAGACCUUGAAAGGUGGCGGCUGUCAAUUAGCAGGCAUUUUUGGAAUGGACGGCAAUGUAUGGGGAUCAAACUUCACGCCCACGCCCGACGAAGUCAAGAAUAUAGUUGGUCUAAUGAAAGGCACGUACAAAGUGCCUGACGAGGGACCAGGAAUCACACUGGAGGGCAAAAAAUACACAGUAUUGCAAAUUGAUAAGGAUGACAUGUUGAAACUGAAACGCAAAGCCGACGAAACGGAUGAUUCAAAGAAGUACCUUUUUGUCUUUAACCUGGCGAACACGUCGGUAGUAUGUGGCGCAGCCUGUGGCAGUGCGGAGAGGAGUAUCGCUAACGCCGUCGGGAACCUGCGAGAUUAUUUGAUUAAAAACAAUUUUUGACACUGUGACAGCUUGCAUUAUCUCUUACUCCAUUACGAUUGAUAACUCUGUGAAAGGACGGAACUGUAUAGGCCGAAAUGUGAUACUGCUCACCACUUCCAGUGCUAAUAUAUAAAACUGUUUGUCUUCUUUUUUUUCCCUUUUUUUUUUUUUUUUAAUUCUUUCUUUUUUUUGUCUUUCACUUUUUGGCUCAUCUAGUAGAUAACGGCAAAGAACUGAACUAAUGUAAUGAAGAACAAUUUGCAAAGUUGCACCAUGUGAGAAUUUUGGUGCAUAUAAUAUAUAUUUUGCUAGUGUCUCUUUCAUAUUUGUGCUUUUUGCCUCCCUUUUUUUCCACGGUUUUGAUAGUAAUAUAAUGUAAUUUUGACAUUAAAUCAGAUGUGUAAAUUGUUUUGACAGAAGCCAAGACAGUUUUGCAACCAAACAAAAGGAAAAAGAAAUAACGUCUAUAAAUUUAUAAAGAAUUUAAAUUUGUACACUGCAAGAAAAUGUUUACGUUUUACCCAUUUUCUUAAUUGACAAUUAUAAUUUCUUAACAAAAAUAGUUUUGCAAUAACAUAUCUUGACUUUAUAAGUUUUACAUUUAUAAAUUUGUAAAAAAAAAAAAACACCCAAAAUAAUAAACUUUAUACUAAGGGGAGUGUUUAAUUGUUUUCCUAACAUUACCAAACUUUCUCAUAAUUGAUUUUUAACUCUCUUUUUUUGUAAAUAUGUCGCUUUUGUACCUCAAGUAGAACUUGAAUGGUAUUGGGUAUUGGAGGAAGGGGGGGGGAUUUGAAUCCACACUCAUUUCUGUACAGCUAAAAUAUUAUUGUAACAUCUAGGACACUGUUUGGUCAUAGAUUGCAAACAUAUUGCUAAUUGUUCAUAAUGGUUGAAGGGUUUCAGGUGGUUGGGCCAAAACGAAUCCCAAGUGUUCAUCUCAUUUACGAAGUUCAGAGCGGAUUAACAACAAUACCCAAGACUUAAGGUUAUGGAAGAAUGAGGUCACCCAUUUUUUGCUGAGUUUAAAACGUAGGAAAGGCUUUACCUGUCGUUUUCUUGAUUAGCAUGCUUUCUGUGACCCAUACAUUAUCACACCACCUGCUUUUCAAAACCAAUUUUCAUCUUUAGAAGAAAAACAAAAUCAUGAAUUGUGUUUUAUUAGCUAAAGACAAUAUAUAUUUUAAAAAUUUGAAUUCCGUGUUACUUUUUGUUGCUUCACUAAUUUUUAUUACUUUUUUUUUUUUUUUAACUAGCCCAAAAUCAUGUCUGGAUUGGUAUAUAUAUUGGCCAUUACACACUGAAGUAGGUGUACUGGAUAUUGAUGUUCUUUUGGAAGAUUCAAAGUUUGUCUUCCCUUCAAAAACUAUUUUUGACCCUCAAACUCCCUGAUUGUGUAUGGUCAUGGUGCAGCCAUCAACAUUGUUUCUUUAUGCCAAGCAGUUACUUCUAAUACAUUUAUACCUACUAGAGUGAAUUUUCUUUUACUAGUAUUUGAAGCACAUUGCUGGCGACUAGUUUUGUAUGGCUAAGACCAUGCAAGAGAUUUUUGCUAAAUUAUGUGACCAUUUUCUCCCCCAGUGCCCAUACGCCGACUAAUAACUAAUAAAGAGUUUCAUUUUCUAGUAAUACUGGAAGGUAAACCAACUGAAUGUGACGAGAGUAUUUACUUGAAAAGAAAAUGACAGAAUCGGUAGUAUUAAAUAAUCACGGUUCAAUCUAGUGACCAGGAUGAUUCCAUUGAAAUGGUGAUCUGGUGCCACUAAACUUGCAGGGACCAAGAUGCAGGUAUGCAGCUGCAUACCACCAGAGAGGACAAAUAUUUUUAUUUUAUUAAAAUCUAUUAUGUAAAUGUGUGUAUAUUUAUGCGUUUUAUUCCAUCGCCAAAAAAAAAAGUAUGUGUACCACCAGAAAAUCCCAAGUUAGGUCUCUGACCUUUUCCAUGUUUAAGCAUGCACGCACACACGAAGUGAAACUGGGGGAUUUAAAAUGAUUACAUCUUGGUUGUUUGAUUAGUGCAUGUUUCUGGCUUGAUGGUGUAGCAGUUUCACGACAUGGUUUUUAUGGCCAGUACCAGUCUUCUCUCUUUGGCUUACUGAUUACUUCGUAAAGACCAAGCAUUUCAUGUAUGCCCACAAUAUCAUGUUUGCAUCUCAGUUGGAAGUGAGCAUGAAAUGUAGAUGUAUGUAGAAUUUUUUUUUUUUGCCAGAAUCAGGAGUUCCAUUUCACUAAAAGUGUCAUGGUGACUUACAUUUUCAAGAUUUUUUCUUUGUUUUUUUGUUUCGUUUUUUAUUCUGGAAACCUUGAGAGUAUUUGACUAUGCAAUAGUAAGUGAGGAUAGUAACAAUUCAGAAAGACCUACACAAAUCAUGUAAUCUUGACUGUGAUGGAGUCUUAACCACUUGUCCAGAUACUGCUUCAGAUGUAUCUUCUUUUUUUUUUCUUUUUUUUAAUUGUUUCAUAUUUUGGUAUAUUGAGUCCAACGGUUAUUGAUUGAAGUUGUGCAUUUGCUUCAAAUAUUUAGAUAAAAGAUUAUAUACACGUAAUCACAAGUGGCAUGCUAAACUGGCAGUUAUUUGUUAUGGGAUUUUGGUGAAGAUGUCAUCAGUCUGUCAUGCAAAUUCAUGAAGUAGAUGCAAAUCUUCUAAAGUUGACAAAAAUACGCAAUAAUGGAUGUGGUCAUUUUCCUUGCACCUUGUUAGCAUUUUUUGGGUGUACAGAAUCGAUAAAAUAUGCAACGAUUCUUGCCUUAUAAUUGCCUAGGAAUUGCCUGGUGAAAAUUUACAGAUAAUGUAUUGGUGUAAUACCAUAAUGAUCUGGCACAUUGAAUAGUGGGAAUACCAUCUACAGUGUGUACUAAUGCUCCAGUCUACACACUGAAAAAUUCAGUCAUAUGUGGACAUGCACAUAAAAUUGUAGGCGAAUAGCUCUUUUUAUGAUGUUAUCGAAAACCUGAGAUGACUAACAUUUUAGUGUCUGUUAUUCACUAUUCUGCCAUGUGUCGAAAAUAUUUAUAGACUAUUAAACAGUUGUACCAAAAUCCAGGGUUUGAAAAAUCCACCAGUUGUAGGUCCUGGCUAGUGAUUUUCCUGUCUGGACUAGUGGAAAUUGUCAGCUGUAUUACUAUAAUACAUAAGGCACUAGCUAAGGCAUCAGAGAUGGCUAGCGACUUUGUCAAACACUGCUAAAUCGAUAUUACAAAUUUAUAAUUGUUUUAACUUCGUGUGAUUUUAUGCCAGUGUCAGACUACCAUCUGUCACUACGAAGUUGGCCAAAUUGAUGGUUGCGUUGUAAUUUCCUUCACUUCCGACUUAAGACUCACUUCCGACUUAAGACGGGUAUGCUCAGAUUAACAACUAAUUGGUUGUAGUCGUAUACGACGAGAAUCGGAAUAGGAGAACAAGAGCACUCCGACUAACCAACUGGACAGUCGAAAUAGUAAGAGCGGCGAGUUGGCCAACUGUCGUGACAAUUGGUAGUCUGAGCUUAGGAUUACACGACCCGUUAUUGUUGUCCCAUGCUUCAGACAUUGGGGGAAGGGUGGAAUUGUUGUUGCUUAGCUUUUAUUAUUGUACAAAUCAUUAUUAGCCAUGUCUGUAUUUCUUUGUAUGGGUUUUUUCUUUCUGAUACUCUUAGUAUUUAUAUAAAAAAAAUAAUGGACAUGUAAUUGGCCAAAACGUUUUGAUAAAUUUGCAGGCAUCAAAUCCGAA